UCAAUCACGCCUAGCUCGCCAGCGAUGCCGCCGAUCAAUCGAUCCAUCGAGGCGCACCUCACCGUCACCGUUGCUAAGCUCCCACCUCAUGGCAGCCGAGGGCAGCCAAGAGCAAACCCUAAAGCCUUAGCUGCAACGUCCCAGCCGUCCGGAUCGAGGCAACCUGCCACGCCUGGUGCGCGACCUGGCCCACCUCCCCGCUAUAAAUCGGCACGGCCGGUGCACGCCUCUCCUCCUCGAUCCCUCGCCAAACCAAGCGGCCGAAACACCCAAGCAGUUGUUCGCGUCUCUCUCGCCGUCUCGGCCGUGGUCGCGAGGAUAAGUGGGUUGGGUUGUGGCGUGCGGGCGGGCGGGGUGGUGCCGGCAGGGCGGGGCGGGCGCGCGCGGUGACAGAAGAGAGUGAGCACACGGCCCGGCGUUACGGCACCGGCGCGGAUGUGUGCCGUCGCGGCCGCGUGCUCACUGCUCUUUCUGUCAUCCGCUGUCCCCCCCCCCCACCUCAUACCAUACGGGCUCUCGCUCACCGCCGGCCGGUGCCCCUCCGCCACGCCCUAGCCAGCCCGACCCCUAGCCUCGCGCUGUGUCCACAGACCUCUGCAUGAACUCGUACCAUGUUCUUUGGGUCGUUCAUCUUCUUUCAUGCACGAAUCAGCCGCCCUCUCUCAUAUUCUUGGAUUUGCUCGAUCUUUCGGUCCUCUUUUAUCUUCAUGGCACUGUUUGAUUUGAUUGAUGGGAACGGGGAAUGUGAUUUUCUCGAUCUCCCAGGAUAAAAUCGAGGUGUUUUGGUGUUUCUUCUUGCUGGUGUCUGUAUUUGGUCGUGGUUUUCCCUCCCUUGGGCUUCCUGGCCUCGUACGACGCCCUCCUCCGUUCAUCUCUUCCGAGGAGCGGCAAAAACCAUUAGGGGGAAGUACCACACCACAUUUUUUUUAACUCCCUUCUCGGGAAGGAAAUGCGUGGUACUUACUACUGUGCCAUUGAUGGGUCUUGGAACCCGGGAUGUGGUAGCAGCAUCGUCCAAUCGUCCAAGGAAUCUACCGGAUGCAUGGAUCCGUGAUCCCGUCCAUUUUUUUUUUCUUUCACCAGAUCUAUUUACUAGUUCUGCUUCUUACUUGAUUACUUCCUCCUCUUCCUGUUCUUUCUUGCUUUCCUCUUUCGUUUUCAGGUCACUGUUAAGCACCAGAGCUCACAGGCAGUACAGUGUGGACGAGAUGAGAGAAAGAAAAGGAGGCCAUGACGAACCGAGGAAGAACAAGAACACAUGGAAUUUUGAGGGGAAGGGCUCACUACGGAGACACGGUUCGCAGAUCUGGCGCUGCCUUUUCCGCGCCUUAUCAUCGAUCGAUCGCCACCGUGGUAUAUAUGUUCUCGUGAUGGAUGUCAUGAUCAUGAAACAUCCAUGGAGCUGCUGAUGUUGGACGCUUACAGCGGCUUCGUUUGAAAACUGAAAUUCGAGGGAGGAAGGACACAUGGUUUUACUUGGCGCCAUGCAUACUGUACUGCUACUGCCACAACAGAAAAGGAGCUGAGCAGGCGACGUGCAUGGCGAGCGUGGCGAGGGAACCGGUCAGCAACAAACUUUGGGUAUUUUUGUUUUCUUUGUUCACUCUUAUCUACUAACCUUAUUUGGUAAGAUUAGGUUAGACAAAUCUUGCUAGAAGAGGAGAGCUAAUUUGGCUCUCUUAAAAGCAAGAAAAUUCUUACCCAUCUUGCCCAUAUUCAAACAAAGCAAAUGAACCAAACAUGCAAGGUUAGCCAAGGGUGGGCAAAGGAUCCAAACAUUUUAUUGCCAACACCCCGCCGCGGUCGAUGCGUCCGGAAGGCCGAUGCAGAGACUGGACUUGAUCCAAGCAAAUUGCCAAAGCAAUUGACGGAACUCGUUGAACGUCGUAGUUUGGAGGCCCUUCAUCAUGAUAUUUGCGAAUUGCUGACGGGUAGGAACGUGCAGAACACGCAGAGCGCCGUUGUCCACCUUCUCUUGGAUGAAGUGUAUGUCCAGUUCUAUGUGCUUGGUCUACCCAUGAUGCAUAGGGGCUGCCAUGUAAACUGCAUAUAUAAGUUGCAGCGGACUUCACCGAGCAAUUGUUGAAGCCAAAUGCACUCAUCGACCGUGUUAGCGACGGUGCAAUAUUCGGCUUCUGCGCUCAAUCAGGAUAUGGACAGUUGUUGCUUUGAAGACCAAGAGUACACCAAAGACGCACCAAGACAUACGCAAUAGCCUGACGUCGAUCUUCGAGUGUAGUUCUCUUCUGGUCGUUUUACUAAGCAUUUUUAGUU